rnacentral:rRNA from 1 species
AUUGAACGCUGGCGGAAUGCUUUACACAUGCAAGUCGAACGGCAGCACGGACUUCGGUCUGGUGGCGAGUGGCGAACGGGUGAGUAAUAUAUCGGAACGUGCCCAGUCGUGGGGGAUAACGUAGCGAAAGCUACGCUAAUACCGCAUACGAUCUACGGAUGAAAGCGGGGAUCGCAAGACCUCGCGCGAUUGGAGCGGCCGAUAUCAGAUUAGGUAGUUGGUGAGGUAAAGGCUCACCAAGCCGACGAUCUGUAGCUGGUCUGAGAGGACGACCAGCCACACUGGGACUGAGACACGGCCCAGACUCCUACGGGAGGCAGCAGUGGGGAAUUUUGGACAAUGGACGCAAGUCUGAUCCAGCCAUUCCGCGUGCAGGACGAAGGCCUUCGGGUUGUAAACUGCUUUUGUACAGAACGAAAAGGUCUCUAUUAAUACUAGGGGCUCAUGACGGUACUGUAAGAAUAAGCACCGGCUAACUACGUGCCAGCAGCCGCGGUAA